rnacentral:tRNA from 1 species
GGGGGUAUUAGGGGGUGUCCCCCCUAAAUAGGGCUCUGGCCCCUGGGACCAGGGUUCGAAUCCCUGCCCGGCUA